rnacentral:rRNA from 1 species
AUGGGCUCUGUCCUUGAGGUGGAUGUCGAUGGUGAAGCCGUCUUCUUCCUUGAUAAGGACGCUCUUGCACCGUUCAGCCGCAGGAUCAAGAAUCUGUCCGGGGAGGAGCUGGUCGGAGCUGCGGCGUCGCCUCGUCGCAGACUAGUGUUGCACGGCUUCCCCGGCGGCGCCGAGGCGUUCGAGCUCGUCGCGAGGUUCUGCUACGGCGGCGGCGGCGGAGUGACGGUCACCGCGGCCAACGCCUGCGCGGUGCGGUGCGCGGCACAGUACAUGGAGAUGGGGGACGCGCCCGCGGCCACCGCCCCGAGUUUGGCGAAGGUGGCCGAUAAGGCGCUGGAGGAUAUGCCGCACUGGCCGUGGCAGUGCGUGGUGGACGCCGUGAAGCAGUGCCAGAGCCUCUUCCCGCUGGCCGAGUCCACCGGGGUGUUCGACAAGGUCGUCGGCGCGCUGCUGGCCCAGAUGGCCAUCCCUGCCCCUGGCGACGCCACCCCGACGAGCUCCUCGCCGGAGAGCUCGGCGUUCCGCUUCUCCUGCGAUACCAAGUGCAGCAGCCUCAGCCUGCGCCGCACCUGGUGGUUCGAGGACCUCGUCGUCCUCAGCCCCGGCAUGGUGGAGCGCGUGGCCAAGGCGCUCCUGGCCAGGGGCGCCGACCACGGCAUCGUCGCCCGGUUCCUCUUCUACUACCUCAAGUGCCGCAUCGCCGGCGCCAGCGCCGAGGACAAGAGGGCGAUGCUGGAGGCGGCGAUCACCGUCAUUGCCGACCUCGACCGGAGUUCGGUUUCUUGCAAGGGCCUGUUCGGCAUCCUGAGGAUCGCCUCCCCUGUCAAGCUGGCCGCCGGUUGCCAGGAAAUGCUCGUGGCCAUGAUAGGCCGCAAGCUCGACCACGCGACGCUCGACAACCUGCUCGUCCAGGCGCCGUCCGGGACGGGCAGCUUGUACGACGUGAGCCUGGUGCUCAGGUUCCUGGAGGCGUUCCUGCGCCACGGCGACGAGCCGGGGAGGCUGAAGAAGGUGGGUGAGCUCAUGGACCUGUACCUGGCCGAGGUCGCGCCGGACCCGUCGCUGCGGCCGGCCAGGUUCGUCGAGCUGGCCACCGCGCUGCCCGCCGCCGCGAGGGACUGCCACGACGCGCUGUACCGCGCCAUCGACGUCUACUUCCAGGUCCACGGCCGACUGACGGACGACGAGAAGAUGAAGAUCUGCAAGGGCAUCAACUACGAGAAGCUGUCGCCGGAGUGCUGCAAGCACCUGGCGACCAACUCCGGCUUCCCAACGAGGGCGGCGGUGCAGGCGCUGGCGUCCCAGCACACGGUGCUCAAGGGCAUCAUCCGCCACUCUGGCCCCUUGAAGCCGGCGUCGCCCCCGCCACCUCCGGCCGCCCAUCGCGAGAGCUACGACGACGCCGACGGCGACAACAACGGGCAGGUGGUCCUGUACGCGAGCAGGCUGGAGCUGACGCUGGAGAACCAGAACCUCAAGUCGCUCCUGGACAGCAUGCACUGGCGGGUGAUGGAGCUGGAGAAGGUGUGCAGCCGGAUGAAGACGCAGAUGACGAAGAUGAAGGCCUCCCGGCGCGGAGGAGGCGCCGCCGCCGCGAGAUCACUCCCCAGGAUGUGUUCUUGA